AAAAACUGCGUUUAAGGACACCAAGAUCCAUGAUGUCCUGUUUGAUGCUCUACAAAAGCAGCUGCCAGGGAGCACACAUGCUACUUUUAGUGACGCAAUCAAGAAGUGGCUUAAGUAUGCGCCAGAGAGAGAGGGAGGGAUGAGGAGACGUGAGGUGUCUGCGCCGCAGGAGGAAUAGGCCACAAUUAUAAAUUAUAAAUAAAUC